UCUUAGUAUAACCUGCCAGACAGGGAAACUGCGUACGGCUCAUUACACCAGCCUUAAUUUACUUGACCUUGACAACCUACUUGGAUACCUGUGGUAAUUCUAGAGCUAAUACAUGCACCAAAGCUCCGAUCCUCGCGGAGAGGAGCGCAUUUGUUCGCCACAAAACCAAGCCCCCAUCUGGGCGUCCAGUGCUGAACCAGAACAACUCAGCUGAUCGCACGGUCUUGUACCGGCGACGUGUCUUUCAAGUGUCUGCCUUAUCAACUUUCCAUGGUAGUGUACCUGACUACCAUGGUUGUGACGGGUAACGGAGGAUAAGGGUUCGACUCCGGAGAAGGGGCCUGAGAAAUGGCCACUACGUCUAAGGAUGGCAGCAGGCGCGCAAAUUACCCACUCUCAACGCGAGGAGGUACUGACGAGAAAUAACGAGACCGUUCUCAUACGAGGCCGGUUAUUGGAAUGGGUA
rnacentral:rRNA from 1 species